rnacentral:rRNA from 1 species
GGCCGGAUAAAAGGGCGAGUCAUGAGACUUUAGCUUUUUUACCAGUCACAUCACAUUUUCAGGAGAAGACCUCCUGCACUUAACUGGGCAGGCUGGAUUCUUCUUCUCCUGACGUUUACUUUGAAAAAAUUGGAGUGUUUAAAGCAAGCGUUUUCGCAUUUGAACAUAUUAGCAUGGAAUAAUAAAAUAUGACUUUGGUCGUGUUUUGUUGGUUUUAAUGACCGAAGUA